rnacentral:rRNA from 1 species
AUGACAGCAGCAAAUACAGCAGUUCACCAAUUUAAGAAGAUUCAUCCCACGGAUUCCUUCCGGGUGCAAGUCCGAUCCUGUUGGCUGGCCACGUCCGCCAAAAACUGGGCAAACGCCACGCGUGACGACCCGCCGUCGUUCCAAGCUGCCGCGGCGUCUUCCUUGUGCGCCUCGACCCGCACCCUGAGCUCUCUGCCCUCCUCAGACUCCAUGACAAGCCUUACCUUGCCCUCCACCUCGCCGGCCUUGACCAGCCCCUGCUGCCACCCGACAAUCUCUACGGCGACCCCCAUCGGCCAGCACAGCAUCGGCACGCCCGCCGUGACGCCCUCCAGCACUGAGUUCCAUCCGCAGUGCGUCACGAACGCCCCGGUGGCCUUGUGGCGGAGAACGUCCGCCUGCGGUGCCCACAGCUUGACGACGAGGCCACGGCCAUUGGUGCGCUCCAUGAACCCGUCCGGCAGUAGAGCGAAGCGGUGGCCGGACUUUUCAAGCCCCACGGCGAUCUCCCUGAGCUGCUCCUCGGAGUGGUUUCCUAUGCCGAUGCUCCCGAAGCAGAGGAACACGACGCUGCGGUCCGGUUGGCCGUCUAGCCAAGCGAGGCACUCGUGA